GACCGCUAGCUCAGUUGGUUAGAGCACGGAGCUCAUAACUCCGCGGUGCACGGUACAAAUCCGUGAGCGUCA
rnacentral:tRNA from 1 species